UGAGUAACCUGCCCUUAACUCUGGGAUAAGCCUGGGAAACUGGGUCUAAUACCGGAUAUGACUCCUCAUCGCAUGGUGGGGGGUGGAAAGCUUUAUUGUGGUUUUGGAUGAACUCGCGGCCUAUCAGCUUGUUGGUGAGGUAAUGGCUCACCAAGGCGACGACGGGUAGCUGGUCUGAGAGGGUGACCGGCCACACUGGGACUGAGACACGGCCCAGACUCCGUACGGGAGCAG
rnacentral:rRNA from 1 species